CAGGAUGAACGCUAGCGGUGUGUUUACACAUGCAAGUCGAGCGAGGCUUCGAGCCGAGCGGCAGACGAGAGAGUAACACGUUGGAACCUACCCCAAACUCAGGGAUAACCUUCUGAAAAGAAGGCUAAUACCGGAUAGCCUCGAAAGAGUAAAGCUUUUGCGGUUUGGGAGGGGCCUGCGGCCUAUCAGCUAGUUGGUAAGGUAAUGGCUUACCAAGGCGAUGACGGGUAGCUGAUGUGAGAGCAUGAUCAGCCUCGAUGGGACUGCGACACGGCCCAUACUCCUACGGGAGGCAGCAGUGAAGAAUCUUCCGCAAUGGACGAAAGUCUGACGGAGCAACACCGCGUGGAGGACGACGGCCUUCGGGUUGUAAACUCCUUUUCUGAGGGAACAAGUAUGAGGGUACCUCAGGAAUAAGGCGCUGCUAACUACGUGCCAGCAGCAGCGGUAAUACGUAGGCGCCAAGCGUUAUCCGGAAUUACUGGGCGUAAAGAGUCUGUAGGCGGCGGAUAAAGUCGAGUGUUAAAUUUUCAUGCUCAACGUGAAAAAUGUACUCGAAACUUAUUUGCUUAGAGUCUGAGAGAGGCUACUGGAAUUCCCAUUGAAGGAGUAAAAUCCGUAGAUAAUGGGAGGAACACCAAAAGCGAAGGCAGGUAGCUGGAUCAGGACUGACGCUGAGAGACGAAAGCGUGGGUAGCGAACAGGAUUAGAUACCCUGGUAGUCCACGCCGUAAACGAUGAGUGCUAGGCGUUGGAGAGUCAUUUCGACCCUUUCCAGUGUCUAAAGUUAACACGUUAAGCACUCCGCCUGGGGAGUACGAGCGCAAGCUUAAAACUCAAAGGAAUAGACGGGGGCCCGCACAAGCGGUGGAGCAUGUGG
rnacentral:rRNA from 1 species